rnacentral:rRNA from 1 species
AACGCUAGCUACAGGCUUAACACAUGCAAGUCGAGGGGCAGCAUAAAAGUAGCAAUACUUUGGUGGCGACCGGCGCACGGGUGAGUAACGCGUAUGCAACCUACCUAUCAGAGGGGGAUAACCCGGCGAAAGUCGGACUAAUACCGCAUAAAACAGGGGCACCGCAUGGUGCUAUUUGUUAAAAAUUUAUUGCUGAUAGAUGGGCAUGCGUUCCAUUAGGUAGUUGGAGAGGUAACGGCUCACCAAGCCUACGAUGGAUAGGGGAACUGAGAGGUUGGUCCCCCACACUGGUACUGAGACACGGACCAGACUCCUACGGGAGGCAGCAGUGAGGAAUAUUGGUCAAUGGGCGAGAGCCUGAACCAGCCAAGUCGCGUGAAGGAAGAAGGAUCUAUGGUUCGUAAACUUCUUUUGCAGGGGAAUAAAGUGCAGGACGUGUCCUGUUUUGUAUGUACCCUGAGAAUAAGGAUCGGCUAACUCCGUGCCAGCAGCCGCGGUAAUACGGAGGAUCCGAGCGUUAUCCGGAUUUAUUGGGUUUAAAGGGUGCGUAGGUGGUUUAAUAAGUCAGCGGUGAAAGUUUGCAGCUUAACUGUAAAAAUGCCGUUGAAACUGUUAGACUUGUGUGUAAAUGAGGUAGGCGGAAUGCGUGGUGUAGCGGUGAAAUGCUUAGAUAUCACGAAGAACUCCGAUUG